CACUAAUAUCCCUGUAUUUGUCAAAUAAGGACUCUAGAAUAGGGGCACAGUUCCGAGAGACCAUGCAGUCCCUGACUUCUUCAACUUUUGAUUCUAAUUCCAAAAAUGUCAUAUUCAAAAUAUCCUCAUCUGAAUGUACUAAAUCUUCAUGAUUCUUUAAAAUUAGUAUGAAUGUCUCAUCUGAAUUUAACAAAUCUUGAAGAAUACUAUCCCUAUUCCCAGAGUCAGCUUUAGACAUCAGUAUGAAUGCCUCAUCUGAAUUUACCAAACCUUCAAGAAUACUAUCCCUAUUCCUAGAGUCAGCUUUAGACAUUAUCUCUCCAACCAAAUUUUCAAUAGCAGCUUCUGCAUCUUCGAAUUCCCUUUUCUCAUCUUCAUUAAAAGAGUUAAUUUUUUCUUUCAAGGUCAAGCCUUUUUCUGAUAUCUUCUCAACAACAUUGUCCCUAUCCACAAUUCUCAACUCCACAUCUCCACGCUUCCCGCUUAGCAAAAGUAACACCUGGUAAAAUUAAGCCAUGUCAAUGAAUUGGUGUACAAAGACAACAUAUUAAGGUAAAGCAAGACGAUGAAAUAAGUAAUAGAACUGUGCUUGUUGGGGACUAGACUCAAGUGACCGGUUAUCUUGUUAUACUAAUCAUCUAUGUUUUAUUUGUUUUAACCAUUCUUUCCAAUUUCUUCUUAUGGCUAUUGAGUUAUCUACAUCCUAAGCAAGAACACACCAAAAAGGCCAUGGUGCCUGUGUCAAACUGGACAGGCCUAGGGCAUGGUUGCUUGAGUGUCUGUUGUGAAAAAUCUUAUUUUGAGAUCUAUAUGUUCUAAAAGCUCUAAUUCCCCUUGAAAAACUCUGAUUUAGGCCCCAAGCAAUUAAUGCAAUGAAAUUAAUGAAUUUAUUGCACAAUUUAACUAGAUUUUCCACUCAUAAGUAAAUAUUAUUAUAUUCAUCACAAAUGUCAAAUACUGAAUCUAAAGUAGUAUACAAUCAGCACAAAGAUUUUAGUAAAGAAAUGGAAAACCAAUGAAGAACCUCUUCAAUUUUAAAAACUAUUUUGGGGAUCCAAUCAUUUUAGAAAUCCACUAUAAGGAAACAGUCACAACAGUCUUACCAUAUGGAUAGGGAGGCUCUUGCAUGGUUUCAAGAUGCUAAAGAAUAAGGCCUAUUCACCAGUUGGGACUUAGGAGGCCUUUGUUAGGGCAUUGCAAAUAAGCUUUGGAAGUACAGCCUAUGAUGAUCCAAUGGAAGCCCUUACAAGGCUUAGGCAGACCAGCUUUUAAUGGGCAAUUUGAAGCACUAUCAAAUAGGAUUAAGGGGCUGUCAGAAAAGCACAAGUUGUUUUCCCGUUGGAUUAAGGAUGAGAUUAGACUUCUUGUGAGAAUGCUAAACCCACUGAAUCUUAAUGCUGCUUUGGAUUAGCAAAAAUUCAAGAGUACCUCUUAAGUCUUAACUGGUUGGAAAACUUUCAAAAAUUCUCAAGAUUCAAGUAGGCCUUCCAUCUUGGGAUCAUUUAAGGUUGUACAAGAUUGGACCAACUUAAGCCUAAACUUCUUGUCCGCACGAUCCCUCCAGCUCAAAUGGAUGAAAGAAGGAAGAAAGGGCUCUGUUAUCAUUGUGAUGAGAAAUGGCAGCCUGGACAUAAGUAAUGGAAGGGCUACAAACUCACUCAAAACAUUUGCAAGGGUUUCACCUUGAGGAAAUUAUUGAUGCAUAACUAAUAGAGAUCGCAGUUACUAUUGCAGAGCAAGAGGUAACAGUGGAUGCAAUUGAAAUCAAAUUAUACGCAUUAAUUGGAAACCCAUCUUCAAUUACCAAGAGAAUGUUAGAAAAGAUUAAAGGCGAGUGGGCUAUUAUCCUCAUUGACAUUGGUAGCACUCAUAACUUCCUAGAGUUAUCAAUCUUGGAAGCAUUGAGGCUGUCAGUAACAUCCAAGAAAGGGUCUGAAGUUAAGUUGGCUAAUAUGGUUGUGAUCAUGACAAAGGGAGCUUGUGCUGAUGUUUAAGUCAUAAUGCAAGGCCAUUUAUACAUGGUAACAAGGGCUUUACAUGCAAAGUGGGGCUAGGCCAAUUGAAUCAAGCCAACUUACAUCCAGCCAGGCAUGGAAGCAUUGAGGUUGUCAGUAACAUCCAAGAAAGGGUUUGAAGUUAAGUUGGCUAAUAUGGUUGUGAUCAUGACAAAGGGAGCUUGUGCUGAUGUUUAAGUCAUAAUGCAAGGCCAUUUAUACAUGGUAACAAAGGCUUUACAUGUAAAGUGGGACUAGGCCAAUUGAAUCAAGUCAACUUACAUCCAGCCAGGCAUGAAUUCAAGAAAAGACCAUCCCAAUUAAAUUUAAGUUCAAUUGGAGUAAGGAAUCAAAGAAAAUUUGCGCCAAAUCCAAGUCCAAUUCGGAUUAGGAUUCCAGACUGCACAUCAGUUAGUAUUUUUGGCAUAACUUUCGGCUCAGAUGUCCAAUCGAGAUGAUUCAAGUUGGGCUGGAAUGAUAACUUAAAGGGCUACAACUUUGUAGUUUACCAAAAGUCCAAAUUCUGACGUUAAAUGGGCCAAAAUAGUCGGUUAAGUGAAACCUAAAAAUAUGGGAUUUUCUCCAAACGAGAAUUCAACUUGUAAUAGGAUUCCUUAACCUAUUUAAAGGCUCUUUAGGGCAAAAUUCAGGGAAGCUAGUGCUAGGGCUGAGGGGACUGAACAUAUAGAGGCUGCGGCUAGGAUUGGUGCGUAGGAGUAGAACUUGUUCUUUUUGUCUAUGGCUUGUCUCUAGCACUGUGACUAUUUCUUUCUCUAUUUUAUUUGUUUAGUUUAAUGGUUAGUAUUUUAUUUUUAUGUUUUC